rnacentral:tRNA from 1 species
AGGGGGAUAUGGCGAAAUUGGUAGACGCUACGGACGAAAAUCCGUCGACUUUAAAAAUCGUGAGGGUUCAAGUCCCUCUAUCCC